rnacentral:rRNA from 1 species
UGGGGAAUUGUUCGCAAUGGGCGCAAGCCUGACGACGCAACGCCGCGUGGAGGAUGAAGGUCUUCGGAUUGUAAACUCCUGUUGCCCGGGACGAAAAGCCUCGACCUAACACGUCGAGGUCUGACGGUACCGGGUGAGGAAGCCCCGGCUAACUCUGUGCCAGCAGCCGCGGUAAUACAGAGGGGGCAAGCGUUGUUCGGAAUUACUGGGCGCAAAGGGCGCGUAGGCGGCCUGCUAAGUCGAACGUGAAAUCCCCGGGCUCAACCCGGGAACUGCGUCCGAUACUGGUUGGCUUGAAUCCGGGAGAGGGAUGCGGAAUUCCAGGUGUAGCGGUGAAAUGCGUAGAUAUCUGGAGGAACACCGGUGGCGAAGGCGGCAUCCUGGACCGGCAUUGACGCUGAGGCGCGAAAGCCAGGGGAGCAAACGGG